CAAUUUGAUGCACACAAAGAAAAGAAACUAGUGCCGUGAAACACCAGCCUGGGAAUACCAAACUUGGCAGCAGCGUCAGUGGCCCAAGGGAAGAAUAUAUCGGCUACCAAACAAUCUGGUUUAUGAUCUCGCAAGAGCUGCUCAAGAGGUUCUUGGAGCUUCGUUGUGGCCCCGACAAACUUGACAAUCAAUUCCUUGUUCACUUCAUUAGUGAUUGCGUCCAGAUUUUCACAUCCCUCUGGCAAACCGGCCUCCACAGAAGGGAACUUGAUGGUCUUCACAUCCAAUUCGAUGCCCAUUUCAUUGGCUCUUUCUACUGAUUUGGAGACGUAAGGCCCAUUGGCUGGAGUUGUAAUGACACUUGCUUUCACCCCACGAGAUGCAAACAACUUCGCCAUGUCCACAAUUGGAAUCAUGUGGCCGUGAGCCAUGAAUGGAAAGAAAAAAACGUGAAGCUGAGGGACUUUACUGCCCAUAUUCAACUUCCGAAUCAAAUACAACGAUAGACUAGAAUUAUUAAUGAAUGCAACUUUGUUAUUUUUCUGUGUUUCGAUAACCAACUAUGUGUGUGUGGACUCAAGAAAGCCGUAAAAUAUAUAGAACACAAGAAUUGGAGAUCAAGAAAUGAUGAAGACUUGGGAAUAUUCUAAGAAGAGGAUUAAUGGUCUUCGAUUCACACGCGUCUUUCUUGCCGUCACCACCUUGCUUUGUGCGUCAGCUUCUUUCACAGUAAUUAAAAGAAAGAAACUUAACCCCUCUGUCAAAUUUUUUGUUUCUUCCCUUGGCCGCAACAGUCUUGGUUCUCAUAUUAGUCAAAGUUUUAUGUAUUGACAAUAAAGAAUGGAUGUUUUAAAAGAAUUUAGAUAAUGAUCUGUGCUGUGAAUAAAAAAACACACUACCAUAUUGUUAUUUUUAUUUAAUUUAUUGAUAAAGCACAGAAAGAAAGCUUAAAAGUUUUCCUUGAAGUUUCCAUCGUGCCAAGUUGAAAAGGACAAAUGAAAAUUAAAAAAAAAAAAAAACUGGCUUCGUCGAUGUCUCUUCGUAGUUCAUAGAGACAAGAACAUGAUUACGUUGUUACGUAAGCUCAUACGUUGUUUUUUGUCAGGGUCACGAAUCAGAAUCCACAUGUCACAAUUGGCAUGGUUUGAGUAUCUAGUGCAAUCCUUGAGCAGUUGCGAUUGGCUAGGAGGAUGAUUCUACAGCUUCAAAGAUUAGCUUAUCCCUAAGUGUCUUACUAAUUUUUGAAGCUGGAUAUUUGUCUAUUCUCUUCUUCUUCCGGGCAACAUUGUCUCUAGGAGCCAUAACUAAAAAAGGAGGGAAAAGAAAAGAAAAGACACUCACCAAGGAAAUUGAAAGCCAAAGCCCUGAGCUCCACGAGGUGGGCGAAUGGUGCAAAGGGUGGUUUAUAUAGAAAUGAAUAGAGAGAAAAACAAAUUGAGCUUUUAUGCUUUUGGUUCUGGUGGAACGAGAAACUAAGAGAUAGGGAGUAGCUGUUGUAGAACAUAUAAAAAAUCAAUAAAAAUGUGCGGAGAAAUUGAAAAAAAAAAUGCUCUCUAAGGAGCAAAAACCCCCAGAGUGGGGAGCAGAAGCCACAUCCCCAAGAGUGGGGAGCAACAGGGAGCAGGAGUCAUGCUCCCCAAGGAGCAGAAACCAUGCUUCCCAGGAGGCAAGAGUAGGAACCAUACUCCUUAGGGAGUAGGAGCAGGAACCAUGCCCCUAGGGAUAACAAUAACAAAAUAAGUCGUGACCCAUGGGACCAUUAACCUGAUUUUGGAUUAUGGACCACACAGAAAAGCCAAGUCUAAAUAAAGAAACUAUUGUUGGAUUAAGUUUAGCAAAUAAAAGUUAACAAUGGAAAGAUAUUACUUGGUCCAGAAGUAAAUUAAAUAAAGUUUGACACAGAUAUGACCAAUAAAAAGAUAAAAAAAAAUAUUUUGUAAUUCAAACCCUAGAGAAUAGAGGAUAAUUAGGAAGAGUUAAAAUAAGAAAUGUACUUUAUCUAUAAAAUGCUAUAAAAUCAAAGGCCUCUCUUGGGGGAUGAGCACUGAAAAAGUAGUAAAGAGAGAGAGAGUUGAAUUGUAAUUGCAAUCUUAAUAAAAGAUUUAUUUUUUUUACCCGUGGAUGUAGUCUGAAUGCCGAACCACUUUAAUUUUAUAUAUCUUUUUUAUUAUAACGCCCCGACCUAGAUUAAUUCCAAUGACAGUGUGUCACAAAUCCUCCAAUAGCUUCAUGACUAGUUCAAGUUCAACUAGCAAAUGUGUCGCCAUAUGUAAUAGUAUAGGGUCAUGUUGAUGAUAAGGUUUUGCAAAAGCAUUGAAGCUGAACUAGAAACUAAUUCUUGCUGCCAUAUACUAUCAACAAUGAAAUAUACAAGGCUUUAGGAAUUUGGUUCCAACAAGUGAUGUAGGUUGGUUGGCGUAGGAUGAGCACGGUAUCUUUUAGAUGGCAUAAUUUGGACUACAAAUGUCCUAUGCAUAUAAUAUAUUAUCUCAAAGCUUGCGAUGAGGUAAAUCAAGCCAAGAACUGCUUAUGCCAUUUAGCUCCAUGGCCGAGCCAAAAAUUUUGUUUCGUUUUUGCUCGCUUUCCUAUUUUUAGUUAUUUUCUUAUUUUUCCUAUAACUUUUAAGAUUUUUUUUAAUUUUUUAAAUAUUAGAUUUAGGUGCCAUUUAUUAUAUUUUCUUCAUUAAAUUAGAAGAAUUAUAUUGUAAAAUAAUAUUUCAAAUUUACCUAUUUAAAAUUUUAAAAUUAGUAUAAAAAAAUUUUAAAAAUCUAAUUUUGUUGAUUCAGACUAUCAAAUAAUAUUUCAUUGUUCAAAAACUUAAUUUUUCUUAAUUAUGAACCUUUUUACACUUCCACAUCGCGACCGAGCAGUGUCUAUUUUAGCUUGGCUUCGAGAUUGAAUGAUGAAUCAAUCCAUGCAAUGGGCGUUCAUUCUUGCACUGCGGGCUACUUGGAUGCGUCUCUGCUCUGCGGUGAACAACAGGCCAUCCUCUUUCUAAAUACGUAUCCGAUCUGACGUUUACAGGCUUUAAUAAGUAAACGACUUUCAUGAAAGACGCGUCGGCCCAAUUCUUGGACGAUAUGUCGUCUACUUUAUAAUGACAUGACAUCUGGUUCUAGAACCUACAUACGAUAAGAUGUUUAAGUUUUUACUAAACAAACGACAAGAAAAACUUUGUGAAAUUUGAAAGGCCCGAACCACAGUAGGCGCCAGAGCCCAAAACAAACAACGUCUUAAUCCUUCUUCUUCAUUUGCAAUUUCACACAAACGGAUAUGAGCAGACUCUCCAGAAUUGCACCAACGUGAGCCACUCCGAUACGAUAUGAGACACAAUUAAUAACUACCAUGUUCGCGUUCAGGUAUCAAUGAGACAAAUUCAUAAUUGCUUAGAACGAAACUUAUCACAUCAGAAUUAUCCAUGGUAUUCCUGUUAAUUGACAGAAAGAUUUAUCAUGAGCAAAUAAGUUAAAUAUUAUUUCAUAUGUUGAUUUUUUUUUUUUCAAAAAACCUGUAAUUGGAUCGGUUGGCCAUCAAUCGCCUAUUGUUGAAAAAAGUUAAAGAGGUAGGGAAAAACCAAACUGAUUUUUCCACCACUCUCAAAAUUUUAAGCAGGAAGCCAAAUAAAUUUACUUGAAACUAAAUAAAAAUGGUUGAAAAUUAUUUCACCAAACUUGCGGGAAGAGUAUUUGACAUCAAAAUUCAUCCAUAACUGGACGUAUGAAAAUAUAUUCAUAUACAUACAUAUAUCCAGUCGAAAGAUUCAUACUUUGUAGUCACCAACCAGAUGACUUCGCCAAGUCGUGAUUUUCUCCUUCUGUUGCAAAAGUCGCCAACAAAUCAAAUGCUAACAAGCUGUUCAAGGCUCAAUCCAACCAACCAAUUGGGAAUCACCCCAAUACGACAGGAUCAAGAACAAAGACAAUCAAACAUGCUAUUAUGAUAUAUCUAGCUUUGUGUAAGUUUAGCUGCUUUGAUGGCGACUUAAACGCAACUCCUCAAUAAGAGCACUCAAAUCAGAGUACGAUGAACCGCCAUUUUCAACAGCUCUUUUUGCCAUCUUCCCCAAAGCCUUGGCUCUGCUUCUCAUUUCUUCUGCCCUAUCGCCCACCAUUAUCUCAUUCACGGCCUUUUCUAUUGUCUCUCUCUUCACAAAAUCCCCCACAAUUCUGCACCAUUUCUGGAUUCCAACACCAACGCCAAUCUUGAGAAUUUCAUUCACCAUCUUUUCAUUGUAAAAUUGCUCCGCGGCGACGGGCCAUGUCACCAGAGGUACCCCAGCAGCCACCGCUUCAAGAGUUGAAUUCCAUCCGCAAUGGGUCACAAAUCCUCCAACAGCUUCGUGAUCAAGUAUCAAAACCUGUGGCGCCCAUCCUCUAAUGAUUAGCCCUUUUCCCUCCAUUCUCUUCUCAAAUCCUUCAGGCAACCAAUCUUCAUUUCCUCCUUCACCGCCAUCAUUCUUGUUUUUGCUCACAACCCAAAUGAAAUUUCUCCCUGAAGCUUCCAGGCCCGUUGCAAUCUCCAUUAGCUGAGCAGAAGUAAAGUUGGCCAGGCUUCCAAAGCAAACGUAAACAACAGAAUAGGGUUGCUUUGAAUUCAACCACUUCAAGCACUCCAGUUCAUCAAUAGAGGCUUGCUUUCCCCUCAAAGCUUUAUCUUCAAAAUUCCUAUUGCAUAACGAAACAGGGCCAAUAUGCCAUGCCCUCCUUCCCAAAGCCUUCCUGUAAUGAUCAGCAUAAGCAGGCUCCAGCUCAUAAAAGCUGUUCACGGCAACACCAUAGCUCCUUAAGUCUGAGUCAUCGAUUGCUUUCAACAACCUGCUGAAGUCAUUAUCUCCCAUAUCCUGUUUUACAAAAUCUGGCAAUUGGUUUCUCGUCAGCUUGAUCUCACCAGGAAAAUGAGGCAUCACAAAUGGCUCUGAAUCCGAUGAAACUUUCUUGUGUGGCUCAUAUAGCGCCAGGCAAUUUGAUGCACACAAAGAAAAGAAACUAGUACCAUGAAACACCAACCUGGGAAUCCCAAACUUGGCAGCAGCAUCAGUAGCCCAAGGAAAGAACGUAUCAGCCACCAAACAAUCUGGUUUAUGUUCUUGCAAGAGCUGCUCAAGAGGUUCUUGGAGCUUCAUUGUGGCCCCGAAAAACUUGACAAUCAAUCCCUUGUUCACUUCAUUAGUGAUUGCGUCAAGAUUUUCACAUCCCUCUGGCAAACCGGCCUCCACAGAAGGGAACUUGAUGGUCUUCACAUCCAUUUCGAUGCCCAAUUCAUUGGCUCUUUCUACUGAUUUGGAGACGUAAGGAGCAUUGGC
rnacentral:lncRNA from 1 species